UUGGGCGUCUGUGAUUGGCUGGAAGCUGUUGAAGAGUUUUGUAAUAUGUAUACUGUAUAGUGAGAUAUGCCGCAAAGAUGGCUUUCGGUUACAUCCCCAGAAUAAGAGUUUUUGUGUUUUCAACAAACCAUUCUCGGAUAGUAUCUCCACAAAACAAAUAAGGUGCGCCGCAGUGGCGUGGUCGGUAUGGAGUUGGCGUGCCACCUCGGUGGCCGCGAGUUUGAUUUUCGGGCAUUCGAUUGAGGUGUGUGAGAUGUGUAUUUCUGGUGAUAGAAGUACACUCUCGACGUGGUUCAGUAGCCACGUCAAGCCGUUGGUCCCGUUGCUGAAUAGCCACUGGUUCCGUGCAAUGUAAAAAGACCAUGUAAACAAAUAAAGGUCCUUGAUGCCAUAGCAACAACUCACUCUGGCUGUUGACCUGCGAUGAGGAGGAACUUCUCUACACAACAACCUAAUUUAAAUUCACAUUCUGGGUUAUGAGAGGCAAUCGAUAGCAACUCGACCCUGUUGCUAAGUAUAAAUACUUCAUGUCGGUGAUAUCAAAGUGUCAUUUUCUCAGGAUUUUGUUCUCAGGAGAUUUAUAUCAAAUUGAGAAAGUUAAGGUUCCUGGUUGCACUUUUAGGCAAGAUAGGAGAGCGAAAUUUUAGUGGUAGUUCUGGGCGACUAGAAUCGGCUACGUAAUGGUUCUCUUUGUGGUGGUGACGAAUCCAAAGAUAUGCAGUCUGAAUUGGGGAUUGAAUCUCCUAAUAUACAGCUGAAACCUCUGAGGGUGAGCAAGGGAUCAAACUCUGCUUGUCACCCAGAAUAGUGUUGAAACUACCCACAAGGGAGAUUUCAAUCCAAAGCCCUCUGGCAAAGUAUUUAUGGUGCUGAAACUACCUGCGAGUGAAACUUCACGCCCAAACCCUGCUGAUACGAAGUUUCUGGUGCUUAAAACUACCAGCGAGGGAGACUUUAUCCAAAACCCUGGAUACUCCUCCAAGUAUUGUGGUGCUGAAACUAUCAGUCGGUUUCAGUUGCGGCAGACAUAAAAAGUGGCACACUCGACACACCUCUACUGUUGCUAUAAAGGUGGCUCAAGAACGUGCCUCAAGAGUGUACGAACAUUUGAAAACUUCAAGAUAGUAGAAUCCAAAGUAGUA